rnacentral:pre_miRNA from 1 species
AAAAUUCAUUUUGGAACUGAAUUCUCGUGGGUCUGCAUGGCACAUACCACAAACAAAAAUUAUCAUAGCAUGUUUUUGUUGUGUAUAACACUUUGUAUUUGAAAAUUUGUAGCACCAUGAGAUUCAGCUCUGGCGUGAAUUUC